UACGAAGGGGGCUAGCGUUGCUCGGAAUCACUGGGCGUAAAGCGCACGUAGGCGGAUGUGUCAGUCAGGGGUGAAAUCCCGGGGCUCAACCUCGGAACUGCCUUUGAUACAGCACGUCUCGAGUCCGGAAGAGGUGGGUGGAAUCCUAGUGUAGAGGUGAAAUUCGUAGAUAUUCGCAAGAACACCGGUGGCGAAAGCGGCUCACUGGACCUCUUCUGACGCUGAGG
rnacentral:rRNA from 1 species